UACGAAGGGGGCUAGCGUUGCUCGGAAUUACUGGGCGUAAAGGGAGCGUAGGCGGACAUUUAAGUCAGGGGUGAAAUCCCAGAGCUCAACUCUGGAACUGCCUUUGAUACUGGGUGUCUUGAGUGUGAGAGAGGUGUGUGGAACUCCGAGUGUAGAGGUGAAAUUCGUAGAUAUUCGGAAGAACACCAGUGGCGAAGGCGACAUACUGGCACAUUACUGACGCUGAGGCUCGAAAGCGUGGGGAGCAAACAGG
rnacentral:rRNA from 1 species